AGAGUUUGAUCCUGGCUCAGGAUGAACGCUAGCGGGAGGCCUAACACAUGCAAGUCGAACGGGAUUGGUAGCAAUACCAUGAGAGUGGCGCACGGGUGAGUAACGCGUAUGCAAGCAACCUGCCUUAUACAGGGGAAUAGCCCAUGGAAACGUGGAUUAAAGUCCCAUAGAAUCAAGAUAUCGCAUGGUAUUAUGAUUAAAACUGAGGUGGUAUAAGAUGGGCAUGCGUCUGAUUAGGUAGUUGGUGAGGUAACGGCUCACCAAGCCGACGAUCAGUAGGGGUUCUGAGAGGAUUACCCCCCACACUGGUACUGAGACACGGACCAGACUCCUACGGGAGGCAGCAGUAAGGAAUAUUGGGCAAUGGAGGCAACUCUGACCCAGCCAUGCCGCGUGAAGGAUUGACGGCCCUCUGGGUUGUAAACUUCUUUUGUACGGGAAUAACCCUCCGAACGUGUUCGAAAUGACGGUACCCCAAAAACAAGCAUCGGCUAACUCCGUGCCAGCAGCCGCGGUAAUACGGAGGAUGCGAGCGUUAUCCGGAUUCAUUGGGUUUAAAGGGUGCGCAGGUGGGAAAAUAAGUCAGUGGUGAAAUACUGCCGCUUAACGGUAGAAUUGCCAUUGAUACUGUUUUUCUUGAGUAUGGUUGAGGUAGGUGGAAUGUGUUGUGUAGCGGUGAAAUGCAUAGAUAUGACACAGAACGCCGAUUGCGAAGGCAGCUUACUAAGCCAUUACUGACGCUGAGGCACGAAAGCGUGGGGAUCGAACAGGAUUAGAUACCCUGGUAGUCCACGCCGUAAACGAUGAUCACUCGCUGUUUGCGAUACAUUGCCAGUGACUGAGCGAAAGCAUUAAGUAAUCCACCUGGGGAGUACGUUCGCAAGAAUGAAACUCAAAGGAAUUGACGGGGGCCCGCACAAGCGGAGGAGCAUGUGGUUUAAUUCGAUGAUACGCGAGGAACCUUACCUGGGCUUAAAUGUAGGCUGCAUUCGGCUGAAAGGCUGAUUCCCUUCGGGGCUGCUUACAAGGUGCUGCAUGGUUGUCGUCAGCUAGUGCCGUGAGGUGUCGGGUUAAGUCCCAUAACGAGCGCAACCCUUAACGUUAGUUGCCAGCGGGUCAAGCACAAGUGUCACACGAGACUGCCACCGUAAGGUGUGAGGAAGGUGGGGAUGACGUCAAAUCAGCACGGCCCUUAUGUCCAGGGCUACACACGUGUUACAAUGGCCGAUACAAAGGGCAGCUACUCCGCGAGGAGAUGCUAAUCUCUAAAGUCGGUCCCAGUUCGGAUUGGAGUCUGCAACCCGACUCCAUGAAGUUGGAUUCGCUAGUAAUCGCGCAUCAGCCAUGGCGCGGUGAAUACGUUCCCGGGCCUUGUACACACCGCCCGUCAAACAAUGGAAGCUGGGGGUACCUGAAGUCUGUAACCGCAAGGAGCGGCCUAGGGUAAAACUAGUAACUGGUGUUAAGUCGUAACAAGGUAACC
rnacentral:rRNA from 1 species